GACGAACGCUGGCGGCGUGCUUAACACAUGCAAGUCGAACGGUAAGGCCUUCGGGUACGACGAGUGGCGAACGGGUGAGUAACACGUGGGUGAUCUGCCCUGCACUUCGGGAUAAGCCUGGGAAACUGGGUCUAAUACCGGAUAGGACCAUGGACUUCACGGUUUGUGGUGGAAAGCUUUUGCGGUGUGGGAUGGGCCCGCGGCCUAUCAGCUUGUUGGUGGGGUAAUGGCCUACCAAGGCGACGACGGGUAGCCGGCCUGAGAGGGUGUCCGGCCACACUGGGACUGAGAUACGGCCCAGACUCCUACGGGAGGCAGCAGUGGGGAAUAUUGCACAAUGGGCGCAAGCCUGAUGCAGCGACGCCGCGUGAGGGAUGACGGCCUUCGGUUGUAACUCUUCUAUAGGACGAAGCGCAAGUGACGGUACCUAUAGAAGAAG
rnacentral:rRNA from 1 species